GAUGAACGCUGGCGGCGUGCUUAACACAUGCAAGUCGAACGGAGUUUAUAAUUGGAAGUCUUCGGAUGGAAGAAUAUAAACUUAGUGGCGGACGGGUGAGUAACGCGUGGGUAACCUGCCUUAUACAGGGGGAUAACAGCUGGAAACGGCUGCUAAUACCGCAUAAGCGCACAGUGUUGCAUGGCAUCGUGUGAAAAGAUUUAUCGGUAUAAGAUGGACCCGCGUCUGAUUAGCUAGUUGGUGGGGUAACGGCCUACCAAGGCGGCGAUAAGUAGCCGGUCUGAGAGGAUGAACGGCCACCCUGGGACUGAGACACGGCCCAGACUCCUACGGGAGGCAGCAGUGGGGAAUCUUCCGCAAUGGGCGAAAGCCUGACGGAGCAACGCCGCGUGAGUGAAGAAGGUCUUCGGAUUGUAAAGCUCUGUUUAAAGGGACGAAUGGUCAGAUUGUGAAUAAUGAUUUGACAUGACGGUACCUUUGGAGGAAGCCACGGCUAACUACGUGCCAGCCGCCGCAGUAA
rnacentral:rRNA from 1 species